UUGCAGCCAAUUAAGCCUACCAGCUUUCUUUCCUGGUGGAUCCUGGUGUGCAAUGGCUACAUGAAGUAGCCUCCUGGGUAGUAUAUGCUGCCAUUUUCUUAUAUAAGUUGCUCUACUGGACCCAGGAGGUUAAA